rnacentral:lncRNA from 1 species
CUUUCGGUACUCAGCGCAGGCAGGGUUCAGUGCAGCAAGUAACAGCUGUGGCUUACUGGAUUGUCUGCAACCAUUGGCGACUGAGAGAUCCCUGCAGCCCUCCCAGACCCUCGAUCUGACUGGAGCCAGGCCCACGUGGGGAAAGGGUUAAACGUUGGCAGUGACUUCACCCCUGCAUUGGAGCAGGCGGAGGCAGAGAACCUGCUGGAAGCUGUUCUGAACCAGAGAAGGAUGAAAAUAGCUGCCAAAGAUGUUGCCAUAGCAACUGCUUUCCUUCCUGACCUCCUUGGAAGUGAACUCCCUCAUUUUCCAGAGUAGUCAAGGAAUUUCUGUGCCUCUACCCAUGGCUUUGGUUACCAACUCAUCCCUGGGGGCCUUGGUUUCUUUCUGUGAAAUGGAAUAUUCAUUCCAGCACUCACCACCUUCUAGGCUGGAGUAAGGCUCCAACUUUGCAAAUGCUGUUAGUAAACUGUAGAGCUCCGUGCACUUCCACGUGUCUUUACUUGACCAACACUGACACUCCCUUGGGCUAAUGGCUCUAUAAAUUGGAGGAUGGGGCAGCUGACUUGUUCAACAAGCCCAGAGCCCCAGGACAGAGGACCCCUUUGGAGUUUGAUUCCUGUUCUGUCACCAAAAGCCCCUGGGACCUUCAGCAGGUCACGCAGGCCCCCAGGGACUCAUUUUCUCCUGUAAAAGGACGCCUCUCUAGUUAACUCAAGAGGCCCCUUCCAGCUCUGACAUUCCAUGACCCUAAGUUAAAGGCCAGCCUGCUUUCCGUAAUAAAUCUGUGGAACUUACCAUCCAUAUAGGAGGUGAAAA